rnacentral:rRNA from 1 species
UACGUAGGGACCGAGCGUUGUCCGGAUUCAUUGGGCGUAAAGAGCUCGUAGGCGGCUGCUCAAGUCGAAUGUGAAAACUCGAGGCUCAACCUCGAGCCUGCAUUCGAUACUGGGCGGCUAGAGUCUGGUAGGGGGGAUCUGGAAUUCCUGGUGUAGCGGUGGAAUGCGCAGAUAUCAGGAGGAACACCGGUGGCGAAGGCGGGGAUCCUGGGCCAGUACUGACGCUGAGGAGCGAAAGCGUGGGGAGCAAACAGG